CCCGACUAAAUGGUAGGUCAUGAAUAAAUCAUUAAAUCUCAUUAUCAAUCAUAUAAUAGAUUCGAUUAGCUCAAGUUCAAUUAUGAUCCUUAUGAAAACUCUUUUUUAUUAAUCACACUGCUGUGGCCAUAAACUCUUGGACUUAGCCUCUCAGAUCUUAUAGGACUACUUCUCUCUAUCAAGAUCGAUGAUUCUAUCUAGAUGUGUAUCAUACUCCUAUAGUGAACCAACUGUCGUCAAUAUCUACUACAAAAACUCAUCG
rnacentral:lncRNA from 1 species